ACGCUGGCGGCGUGCUUAACACAUGCAAGUCGAGCGAGAAAGGGGGCUUCGGCUCCUGAGUAAAGCGGCGCACGGGUGAGUAACACGUGGGUAACCUGCCUUUCAGUGGGGGAUAACAGUUCGAAAGGGCUGCUAAUACCGCAUUCGUCCACACGGUCACAUGUCUGUGUGGAGAAAGAGGCGCAAGUCUCGCUGGAAGAUGGGCCCGCGGUCCAUUAGCUAGUUGGUGGGGUAAAGGCCUACCAAGGCUUCGAUGGAUAGCUGGUCUGAGAGGAUGAUCAGCCACACUGGAACUGAGACACGGUCCAGACUCCUACGGGAGGCAGCAGUGGGGAAUAUUGCGCAAUGGGCGAAAGCCUGACGCAGCAACGCCGCGUGUGUGAUGAAGGCCUUCGGGUUGUAAAGCACUGUUCAGAGGGAAGAAGUGACGGGGGUAAACACUCCGUUUUGACGGUACCUCUGAAGAAAGCACUGGCUAACUCCGUG
rnacentral:rRNA from 1 species